GGGUGUGAUCAUAUAAGCAAUAAUGUACCUGAUCCCAUCAGAAGUCUGUAGUUACGUGUGCAUUUGUGAGAGUAGUACUAGGAUGCGUGACCUCUAAGGAACUCCCCGUUUGGCGCCCC
rnacentral:rRNA from 1 species